rnacentral:rRNA from 1 species
GGGGGGGCAAGCGUUUGUUCGGAUUUACUGGGCGUAAAGGGCUCGUAGGCGGCCACCUAAGUCGGUUGUGAAAUCCCUCGGCUUAACCGGGGAACUGCGACCGAUACUGAGUGGCUUGAAGCCGGGAGAGGGAUGCGGAAUUCCAGGUGUAGCGGUGAAAUGCGUAGAUAUCUGGAGGAACACCCGUGGCGAAGGCGGCAUCCUAGACCGGUCUUGACGCUGAGGAGCGAAAGCUAGGGGAGCGAACGGGAUUAGAUACCCCGGUAGUCCUAGCCCUAAACGAUGAAUGCUUGGUGUGGCGGGUAUCGAUCCCCUGCCGUGCCGUAGCUAACGUGUUAAGCAUUCCGCCUGGGGGAGUACGGUCGCAAGGCUG